rnacentral:rRNA from 1 species
GGGUGCGACCGUACCAGAACUAGCGCACAAGACCCCAUCAGAACUGCGAAGUUAAGCGUGCUUGGGCGAGAGUAGUACUAGGAUGGUUGACCUCCUGGGAAGUCCUCGUGUUGCACACC